rnacentral:siRNA from 1 species
UAGCCACUUCUUGAGAUGGG